rnacentral:sRNA from 1 species
UGUCGGGAACUCUAAGGAGACUGCCGGUGACAAACCGGAGGAAGGUGGGGAUGACGUCAAGUCAUCAUGGCCCUUACGAGUAGGGCUACACACGUGCUACAAUGGCCGGUACAGAGGGCUGCNAACUCGCGAGAGUAAGCUAAUCUCACAAAACCGGUCGUAGUCCGGAUCGCAGUCUGCAACUCGACUGCGUGAAGUCGGAAUCGCUAGUAAUCGUGAAUCAGAAUGUCACGGUGAAUACGUUCCCGGGCCUUGUACACACCGCCCGUCACACCAUGGGAGUGGGUUGCACCAGAAGUAGCUAGUCUAACCUUCGGGAGGACGGUUACCACGGUGUGAUUCAUGACUGGGGUGAAGUCGUAACAAGGUAGCCCUAGGGGAACCUGGGGCUGGAUCACCUCCUUAAACG